UGCCUGUAAGACUGGGAUAACUCCGGGAAACCGGAGCUAAUACCGGAUAGUUCCUUGAACCGCAUGGUUCAAGGAUGAAAGACGGUUUCGGCUGUCACUUACAGAUGGACCCGCGGCGCAUUAGCUAGUUGGUGGGGUAAUGGCUCACCAAGGCGACGAUGCGUAGCCGACCUGAGAGGGUGAUCGGCCACACUGGGACUGAGACACGGCCCAGACUCCUACGGGAGGCAGCAGUAGGGAAUCUUCCGCAAUGGACGAAAGUCUGACGGAGCAACGCCGCGUGAGUGAUGAAGGUUUUCGGAUCGUAAAGCUCUGUUGUUAGGGAAGAACAAGUGCGAGAGUAACUGCUCGCACCUUGACGGUACCUAACCAGAAAGCCACGGCUAACUACGUGCCAGCAGCCGCGGUAAUACGUAGGUGGCAAGCGUUGUCCGGAAUUAUUGGGCGUAAAGGGCUCGCAGGCGGUUUCUUAAGUCUGAUGUGAAAGCCCCCGGCUCAACCGGGGAGGGUCAUUGGAAACUGGGAAACUUGAGUGCAGAAGAGGAGAGUGGAAUUCCACGUGUAGCGGUGAAAUGCGUAGAGAUGUGGAGGAACACCAGUGGCGAAGGCGACUCUCUGGUCUGUAACUGACGCUGAGGAGCGAAAGCGUGGGGAGCGAACAGGAUUAGAUACCCUGGUAGUCCACGCCGUAAACGAUGAGUGCUAAGUGUUAGGGGGUUUCCGCCCCCUUAGUGCUGCAGCUAACGCAUUAAGCACUCCGCCUGGGGAGUACGGUCGCAAGACUGAAACUCAAAGGAAUUGACGGGGGCCCGCACAAGCGGUGGAGCAUGUGGUUUAAUUCGAAGCAACGCGAAGAACCUUACCAGGUCUUGACAUCCUCUGACAACCCUAGAGAUAGGGCUUUCCCUUCGGGGACAGAGUGACAGGUGGUGCAUGGUUGUCGUCAGCUUCGUGUCGUGAGAUGUUGGGUUAAGUCCCGCAACGAGCGCAACCCUUGAUCUUAGUUGCCAGCAUUCAGUUGGGCACUCUAAGGUGACUGCCGGUGACAAACCGGAGGAAGGUGGGGAUGACGUCAAAUCAUCAUGCCCCUUAUGACCUGGGCUACACACGUGCUACAAUGGACAGAACAAAGGGCUGCAAGACCGCAAGGUUUAGCCAAUCCCAUAAAUCUGUUCUCAGUUCGGAUCGCAGUCUGCAACUCGACUGCGUGAAGCUGGAAUCGCUAGUAAUCGCGGAUCAGCAUGCCGCGGUGAAUUCGUUCC
rnacentral:rRNA from 1 species